rnacentral:rRNA from 1 species
UACAGAGGUCCCAAGCGUUGUUCGGAUUCAUUGGGCGUAAAGAGUGCGUAGGUGGCCUGGUAAGUCGGGGGUGAAAUCCCGGGGCUCAACCCCGGAACUGCACUCGAUACUGCCGGGCUCGAGUACUGGAGAGGAGACUGGAAUUUACGGUGUAGCAGUGAAAUGCGUAGAUAUCGUAAGGAAGACCAGUGGCGAAGGCGAGUCUCUGGACAGUUACUGACGCUGAGGCACGAAGGCCAGGGGAGCAAACAGG